CAUAUACUCCCUCCAUCCGAAAAUACAUGUCGGGGAAAUGGAUAAAAAUGGAUGUCUGUAGAACUAAAAUAUGUCUAGAUACAUCUAUUUCUCCGACAAGUAUUUCCGGACGGAGGGAGUACUUC
rfam:Triticum aestivum genome assembly, contig: Triticum_aestivum_CS42_TGACv1_scaffold_158609_2DL